UACUCUCGACUCGGAUGAAACUACCCGCCGAACUUAAGCAUAUCGCUAAGUGGAGAAAAAGAAACCAAACGGGAUUCCUUAAGUAACAGCGAAUUAACCGGGAGAAGGCAAAUAUCAUACAAUAUAGAAUAUAUAUUGUAUUGUAGUGCAUAGUAUAUCAUAUUAUGUUAUAUAUAUAUAUAUAUAUAU
rnacentral:ncRNA from 1 species